rnacentral:rRNA from 1 species
UACGAAGGGGGCUAGCGUUGCUCGGAAUUACUGGGCGUAAAGGGCGCGUAGGCGGUGUCGCAAGUCCGUGGUGAAAUCUCUAGGCUCAACUUAGAGACUGCCGCGGAAACUGCGGUGCUUGAGUGUGGGAGAGGGUCGUGGAAUUCCCAGUGUAGAGGUGAAAUUCGUAGAUAUUGGGAAGAACACCGGUGGCGAAGGCGGCGACCUGGUCCGAUACUGACGCUGAGGCGCGAAAGCGUGGGGAGCAAACAGG